UCGCUGCCCGGGACUGAGCCGUUUCGAGAAGAACGGGGACUGGACCUUUACGGCCUUAACCGGCUGUCUUGGACUGGGAACCGUUUUAAUCGCAGUGGCUUGAACCGGGCAA
rnacentral:rRNA from 1 species